GAUGAACGCUGGCGGCGUGCCUAAUACAUGCAAGUCGAGCGAAUGGAUUAAGAGCUUGCUCUUAUGAAGUUAGCGGCGGACGGGUGAGUAACACGUGGGUAACCUGCCCAUAAGACUGGGAUAACUCCGGGAAACCGGGGCUAAUACCGGAUAACAUUUUGAACCGCAUGGAUCGAAAUUGAAUGGCGGAUUCGGCUGUCACUUAUGGAUGGACCCGCGUCGCAUUAGCUAGUUGGUGAGGUAACGGCUCACCAAGGCAACGAUGCGUAGCCGACCUGAGAGGGUGAUCGGCCACACUGGGACUGAGACACGGCCCAGACUCCUACGGGAGGCAGCAGUAGGGAAUCUUCCGCAAUGGACGAAAGUCUGACGGAGCAACGCCGCGUGAGUGAUGAAGGCUUUCGGGUCGUAAAACUCUGUUGUUAGGGAAGAACAAGUGCUAGUUGAAUAAGCUGGCACCUUGACGGUACCUAACCAGAAAGCCACGGCUAGCUACGUGCCAGCCGCCGCCGUAA
rnacentral:rRNA from 1 species